GGGGGUGUAGCUCAAAUGGUAGAGCGCUCGCUUCGCAUGUGAGAGGCACGGGGAUCGAUACCCCGCACUUCCA
rfam:Hordeum vulgare subsp. vulgare, WGS project CAJW01000000 data, contig: morex_contig_85742